UCCCGUUUAACACGGGCAGUCUCACUAGAGUUCCCACCAUUACGUGUUGGCAACUAGUGAUAAGGGUUGCGCUCGUUGCGGGACUUAACCCAACACCUCACGGCACGAGCUGGCGACAGCCAUGCAGCACCUGUGCAGCAGCCCCGAAGGGAGACGCCAUCUCUGGCGCUGUCUACUGCAUGUCAAGCCUGGGUAAGGUUCUUCGCGUUGCAUCGAAUUAAACCACAUGCUCCACUGCUUGUGCGGGUCCCCGUCAAUUCUUUUGAGUUUCACCCUUGCGAGCGUACUCCCCAGGCGGUAUACUUAUCGCGUUGGCUUCGGCACAGCCGGGGUUGAUUCCAGCUACACCAAGUAUACAUCGUUUACGGCAAGGACUAC
rnacentral:misc_RNA from 1 species